rnacentral:rRNA from 1 species
AUUAACGCUGGCGGCGUGCAUAACACAUGCAAGUCGAACGAUGAAGAUUAUUAGACUUCUUCGGAAUGAAAAUAAUUGGAUUAGUGGCGGACGGGUGAGUAACGCGUGAGUAACCUGCCUUACACAAGGGGAUAGCCGUUGGAAACGACGAAUAAUACCCUAUGAAACUAUCACUUCGCAUGAAGCGAUAGUCAAAGUGUUAGCGGUGUAAGAUGGACUUGCGUCUGAUUAGCUAGUUGGUGAGAAAAAAGCCCACCAAGGCAACGAUCAGUAGCCGGCUUGAGAGAGUGUACGGCCACAUUGGGACUGAGACACGGCCCAGACUCCGACGGGAGGCAGCAGUGGGGAAUUUUGCACAAUGGGGGAAACCCUGAUGCAGCGACGCCGCGUGAUUUAGAAGGCCUUCGGGUUGUAAAAAUCUUUUGUAUAGGAAGAAAAUGACAGUACUAUACGAAUAAGGGCCGGCUAAUUACGUG